rnacentral:tRNA from 1 species
UCUAAUAUGGCAGACUAGUGCGGUGGAUUUAAGACCCUCAUAUAAAGUAAACUUUUUUUAGAA